AGAGCAAAACUCCAUGUCAAAAAGAAAAAAAAAAAGCAAAAUAGAAAUUUCGUACACAGUUUAGCAAUCUGCUCCUAGGUGUUGACCCAAGAGAAAUGAAAGAGCAAGGCCACACAGACGUGUUCAGGAACAACCCAUGAUCCACGCACAGCUGGACAUACGAAGGAGCUGUGUGCGUCCACGCCACGGGGUCCUGCUCAGCAUGGAGAGGGGUGAGCUGCUGGUGUGACGGCGCCACGGGGUCCUGCUCAGCAUGGAGAGGGAGGUGUGUGUUACUCAGAGGCUGGUGGAGAUGAGAUACACUGCACGUCACAAACCCUGGAGGGACCUGUGAAACUGAAACAGAUGUUGCUGGUAACACAACAGAGGACAAAAACAUGGACUCCUUAAAGAUAGUCAACCAAUCCAAAAGAAAUCAGGAAAAGAAAAAAACAAGGAACAAAGAAUAAAUGAAAAAAAUACAAAACAAAUAGCAAGGUAGUAUACAUAAAUUAAAAUGUAAAAAUUCCAAAUUAAAGGCAGAUAUUUUCAGACUGAAUAAAGGGCAAUAUUCAGCUAUAUACUGUGUAUAUAAAUCCACUUUACAUAUAAAGACACGUAUAGAUUAAAUGUGACAAGAUGGAAAUAAUACAACAUACAAACAUUGAUUAUAAUUAAGCUGAUGUGGCCAUACUAACAUUAGACAAAGCAGACUUCAGAACAAGGAAUAUUAACAGAGAAAAAGAAAAGCAGCCCAUAAUGGAUACAGGGUUCUAUGUAUUAAGAAAAUAUAGGCCGGGUGCGGUGGCUCACGCCUGUAAUCCCAGCACUUUGGGAGGCCGAGGUGGGCGGAUCACGAGG
rnacentral:lncRNA from 10 species